AAUCAACGCUGGCCGCGUGCCUAACACAUGCAAGUCGAACGCGAAAGCCCCGCAAGGGGUAAGUAGAGUGGCAAACGGGUGAGUAACACGUGGGUGACCUGCCUUCGAGUGGGGGAUAACGUCCCGAAAGGGACGCUAAUACCGCAUGACAUCCUGCUUUUGAAAAAGCGGAGAUCAAAGCUGGGGGUCGCAAGACCUAGCGCUUGAAGAGGGGCCCGCGCCUGAUUAGCUAGUUGGUGAGGUAACGGCUCACCAAGGCGACGAUCAGUAUCCGGCCUGAGAGGGCGGACGGACACACUGGGACUGAGACACGGCCCAGACUCCUACGGGAGGCAGCAGUGGGGAAUUGUUCGCAAUGGGCGCAAGCCUGACGACGCAACGCCGCGGGGAGGACGAAGAUCUUCGGGUCGUAAACUCCUGUCGAGCGGGACGAACGCUUCGCGGAUGAAUAAUCCGCGGAAUUGACGGUACCGCUAAAGGAAGCCCCGGCUAACUCCGUG
rnacentral:rRNA from 1 species